CCUACGGGAGGCUGCAGUAGGGAAUAUUGGACAAUGGGUGCGAGCCUGAUCCAGCCAUGCCGCGUGCAGGAAGAAGGCGUUAUGCGUUGUAAACUGCUUUUGCCAGGGGAUAAAAUAACUGUGCGCAGUUGAUUGAAGGUACCUGGUGAAUAAGCCACGGCUAACUACGUGCCAGCAGCCGCGGUAAUACGUAGGUGGCAAGCGUUGAUUGGAUUUAAAGGGUUUAAAGGCGGCGUUGGCAGCCAGGGGUGAAAUAUCUCAGCUUAACUGAGAGGGUGCCAUUGAUACUGCGGGGCUUGAGUACAGAUGAGGUAGGCGGAAUUGACGGUGUAGCGGUGAAAUGCAUAGAUAUCGUCAAGAACACCGAUAGCGAAGGCAGCUUACCAAGCUGUAACUGACGCUGAGGCACGAAAGUGUGGGGAUCAAACAGGAUUAGAUACCCUUGUAGUC
rnacentral:rRNA from 1 species